rnacentral:rRNA from 1 species
AGAGUUUGAUCAUGGCUCAGAUUGAACGCUGGCGGCAGGCCUAACACAUGCAAGUCGAGCGGUAGCACAGAGAGCUUGCUCUCGGGUGACGAGCGGCGGACGGGUGAGUAAUGUCUGGGAAACUGCCUGAUGGAGGGGGAUAACUACUGGAAACGGUAGCUAAUACCGCAUAAUGUCGCAAGACCAAAGUGGGGGACCUUCGGGCCUCAUGCCAUCAGAUGUGCCCAGAUGGGAUUAGCUAGUAGGUGGGGUAACGGCUCACCUAGGCGACGAUCCCUAGCUGGUCUGAGAGGAUGACCAGCCACACUGGAACUGAGACACGGUCCAGACUCCUACGGGAGGCAGCAGUGGGGAAUAUUGCACAAUGGGCGCAAGCCUGAUGCAGCCAUGCCGCGUGUGUGAAGAAGGCCUUCGGGUUGUAAAGCACUUUCAGCGGGGAGGAAGGCGAUAAGGUUAAUAACCUUGUCGAUUGACGUUACCCGCAGAAGAAGCACCGGCUAACUCCGUGCCAGCAGCCGCGGUAAUACGGAGGGUGCAAGCGUUAAUCGGAAUUACUGGGCGUAAAGCGCACGCAGGCGGUCUGUCAAGUCGGAUGUGAAAUCCCCGGGCUCAACCUGGGAACUGCAUUCGAAACUGGCAGGCUAGAGUCUUGUAGAGGGGGGUAGAAUUCCAGGUGUAGCGGUGAAAUGCGUAGAGAUCUGGAGGAAUACCGGUGGCGAAGGCGGCCCCCUGGACAAAGACUGACGCUCAGGUGCGAAAGCGUGGGGAGCAAACAGGAUUAGAUACCCUGGUAGUCCACGCCGUAAACGAUGUCGAUUUGGAGGUUGUGCCCUUGAGGCGUGGCUUCCGGAGCUAACGCGUUAAAUCGACCGCCUGGGGAGUACGGCCGCAAGGUUAAAACUCAAAUGAAUUGACGGGGGCCCGCACAAGCGGUGGAGCAUGUGGUUUAAUUCGAUGCAACGCGAAGAACCUUACCUGGUCUUGACAUCCACAGAACUUAGCAGAGAUGCUUUGGUGCCUUCGGGAACUGUGAGACAGGUGCUGCAUGGCUGUCGUCAGCUCGUGUUGUGAAAUGUUGGGUUAAGUCCCGCAACGAGCGCAACCCUUAUCCUUUGUUGCCAGCGGUUCGGCCGGGAACUCAAAGGAGACUGCCAGUGAUAAACUGGAGGAAGGUGGGGAUGACGUCAAGUCAUCAUGGCCCUUACGACCAGGGCUACACACGUGCUACAAUGGCGCAUACAAAGAGAAGCGACCUCGCGAGAGCAAGCGGACCUCAUAAAGUGCGUCGUAGUCCGGAUUGGAGUCUGCAACUCGACUCCAUGAAGUCGGAAUCGCUAGUAAUCGUAGAUCAGAAUGCUACGGUGAAUACGUUCCCGGGCCUUGUACACACCGCCCGUCACACCAUGGGAGUGGGUUGCAAAAGAAGUAGGUAGCUUAACCUUCGGGAGGGCGCUUACCACUUUGUGAUUCAUGACUGGGGUGAAGUCGUAACAAGGUAACCGUAGGGGAACCUGCGGUUGGAUCACCU